CAGCAUCAAAGACAAACAAUCUCACUGAUAUACAUAAGGUCAUUGACAUAAAAACACAAGCUCACUCAGUAGCAGGCACACACACACACAAGCAAGCCCACUCACUAGCAGGCGUGCACACACACAGCUUAAUGUAGUGGCUCUGGUGUCUAUAGCCUGUCCCUGCAGGCUUUUCAAUGUAAACACUGACUUUUUAGUGUAGAGGCAGGGCCAGUCGAGGGGAGACCAGCACGACGUGGGG